CUGUUCGUGGACGUGAAGCGAAAAUAAGCAGAUGCCUUUUCAAGAUAAACCCCAAGGGAUCAAAAGCUGAGAAGAAACUUCAAGAAAGCAGAUGACGUUCAGUCCACAGCAUGUGUGUCAAACUCCGCUCCUGGGGAACCACUGUCCUGCAAAGUGCUCCAACACGCUCCAGAACACCGGCCUUGGAAGUUUCUAGCAAUCCUAAAGACAUUGUUUAGCUGGUUCAGGUGUGUUUAAUUAGUUUCUGUAGGGCCACUGUCCUGAGUUUGACACCCUUAUUCAAAAGGUUCUUACACUCUGAACUGAAAGUGCAAACUAUGACUAAGGCAAACAUGGAGAACAUUCUUCAGAAUGGAGUCCAAUCUCCCUCCAUUCACUUGCACAGAAAUGUUCAUCAGUGUCACAUGGACUUUAAGAACAUAUUUCCUGCUUUGUUUAAUUGUUUGUUUUUUAAUUACUCCUUGUAAUUCAUCUGUCGACCAGUGGUCAGGUUUUGAAGGCAGACUGUUUAAUUAUUAUUACACUGUAACUUUUUUUUCUUUGUUGUAUCUGUAUAUUUAGUAUACUGCUGUAAUUGAAACCAUUACUAGUUUUAAAACUGUUUUUGGCU